rnacentral:rRNA from 1 species
UCCCACUGCUGCCUCCCGUAGGAGUCUGGGCCGUGUCUCAGUCCCAAUGUGGCCGUUCAUCCUCUCAGACCGGCUACCGAUCGUCGCCUUGGUGAGCCGUUACCCCACCAACCAGCUAAUCGGACGCAGGCCCAUCCUUCAGCGGUGCUUGAGGGCACCUUUCAAGCUUCCGUCAUGCGGCAGAAGCUUCGUAUCCGGUAUUAGCAUCCCUUUCGGAAUGUUGUCCCCGUCUGAAGGGCAGGUUGCCUACGCGUUACUCACCCGUUCGCCACUAGGAAUCCUGCCGAAGCAAAAUUCCCCGUUCGACUUGCAUGUGUUAAGCACGCCGCCAGCGUUCAUCCUGAGCCAA